rnacentral:rRNA from 1 species
GACGAACGCUGGCGGCGUGCUUAACACAUGCAAGUCGAACGGAAAGGCCCUGCUUGCCGGGUACUCGAGUGGCGAACGGGUGAGUAACACGUGGGUGAUCUGCCCUGCACUUCGGGAUAAGCCUGGGCAACUGGGUCUAAUACCGGAUAGGAGCCAUUUUUAGUGUGAUGGUUGGAAAGUUUUUUCGGUGUAGGAUGAGCUUGCGGCCUAUCAGCUUGUUGGUGGGGUAAUGGCCUACCAAGGCGGCGAAGUGUAGCCGGCCUGUGAGGGUGGACGGCCACAUUGGGACUGAGAUACGGCCCAGACUCCGACGGGUGGCAGCAGUGGGGAAGCUUGAACGAUGGGCGCAAGCCGGAUGCUGCGACGCCGCGGGGGGGAUGACGGUCUUCGGGUUGUAAACUCCUUUUGCUAGGGACGAAGCUUUUUGUGACGGUACCUAGAUAAGAAGCACCGGCUAACUACGUG